rnacentral:lncRNA from 1 species
AGACACUUAAAUGACUAAGGAGGCUCAAUUUGUUGGUUGUUUUUUUCACUUGAAAAAUAUAUUUAAGUUAAAUGAAUAGAUAUUAAUUAUGGACUUACGAAAGUAAAGGAGCCGUGAAGAACACUGUGGCGCGUCAGGGACACGCAUGGGCUCAGGGACUGGCUGGUCCUUCCAGGUCCGCUUUCUUGGGCAGCUCUGAGUGUGGUCACAUGCCAAGCCAUCGAGCACCCCCUAACUGGAGUUGCGGUGACUAUGGUGAGCCUCAGACGACAUGCAGUGAACAUUCUGAGAUGGAUGGCAAGUAGAUUUAAAGAUUCACAUUUGGAGAGAUUCUCAACAGAUUCAUUCCCUGCCUUUCAUUUCAGUGGACGCUAAAACUUCUUAAUAGCUUUAGUAUAGUGUGUUUAGCAGAAAUAUCAGUGACAUCUCAGUGACUAAAAGGAGUGGACCAAGGUACCACUGAUCUAGGAUUUUUAAUUUGCUGACUUAGUGACUGAAAAAGAUCAGCAAACGGUCCCCUCAAUCAAUUGUUAUUGAAUGGAUUAUGCAAACAUAAAAAGGAAAAAUUCUGAAUUAUUAGUUGGUUUUGCAACAGUUUUGUCAUGUGUACAGACACAGCCCUUUAAUAUUUAAUAUAAAGAGAAUAUUGCCUUGUCCAGCAUAUCCUCAAAUCUUUAUGUCACCUGGGCUUACAGAUUCCAGGAUAAGCAAUUCCCCACCCCAACCACCACCGCCCCUGACUAAUGGAUAAGUUACUCAGCUGCACCCUUUGACGUGUUCUGAUGGGACUCAAAGGCCUUCAGAAGAACUGCCAGAAGACCAUCAGGGACGAGACCAGAAAUAACGCCAUGGACGCCCCGAUGUGCCCCAGUGACAGGGCCGUGGGUAUGCUUCUUUGAGGAAGAGCUUCAUUCAUGGGAUUCUACUAACCGCGACACGGGCAGGCUAGAGGAUUGCAAAUCCACCUGUGAACGGAAUCAUUUGUUCCAAUUUGGUGUUUCAGACUUUCUGAGAAUAGCAUUUCCAAGAAGAACACCCAGGAGAAUAUAAAGUGUGAAUAAUCCCGGAUUUCUCUCUCUCCUUUUAAACUAAAAAUUUAGAUAAUAAAUUACACAUUAAAACAUUUGCA